GACGAACGCUGGCGGCAUGCUUAACACAUGCAAGUCGAACGGAAAGGCCCUGCUUUUGUGGGGUGCUCGAGUGGCGAACGGGUGAGUAACACGUGAGUAACCUGCCCUUGACUUUGGGAUAACUUCAGGAAACUGGGGCUAAUACCGGAUAGGAGCUCCUGCUGCAUGGUGGGGGUUGGAAAGUUUCGGCGGUUGGGGAUGGACUCGCGGCUUAUCAGCUUGUUGGUGGGGUAGUGGCUUACCAAGGCUUUGACGGGUAGCCGGCCUGAGAGGGUGACCGGCCACAUUGGGCCUGAGAUACGGCCCAGACUCCUACGGGAGGCAGCAGUGGGGAAUAUUGCACAAUGGGCGGAAGCCUGAUGCAGCAACGCCGCGUGCGGGAUGACGGCCUUCGGGUUGUAAACCGCUUUCGCCUGUGACGAAGCGUGAGUGACGGUAAUGGGUAAAGAAGCACCGGCUAACUACGUG
rnacentral:rRNA from 1 species